rnacentral:rRNA from 1 species
GUGCCAGCCGCCGCGGUAAUACGGAGGAUCCAAGCGUUAUCCGGAUUCACUGGGUUUAAAGGGUGCGUAGGCGGAAUGACAAGUCAGUGGUGAAAACCUGCAGCUUAACUGCAGAACUGCCAUUGAUACUGUUAUUCUUGAGUGUAUUUGAUGUGAGUGGAAUGUGUCGUGUAGCGGUGAAAUGCUUAGAUAUGACACAGAACACCAAUUGCGAAGGCAGCUCACAAAACUACAACUGACGCUGAGGCACGAAAGCGUGGGGAUCAAACAGGAUUAGAUACCCUAGUAGUCC